AAGACCUUACUUCAUAGGAUCAUUUCUAUAGUAAGCUCUUCUCGAGACUUUCACACUGUGUGAGUCCUCACUAGUCACGAUGAUGAGGAGUGGCGCGGUACCCUGAGCGUGAGGCGGGCGAAGUGUCGUCUUCUUUCAGCCCUCGAUGAUCGUUCACUCCCUGAGGGGAGAGUGGGGUACUGUCGCUUUCUGAGUGGC